rnacentral:rRNA from 1 species
AGCGAACGCUGGCGGCAGGCCUAAUACAUGCAAGUCGAACGGCUCUUCGGAGCAGUGGCGGACGGGUGAGUAACGCGUGGGAAUGUGCCCUUAGGUACGGAACAACACAGGGAAACUUGUGCUAAUACCGUAUGUGCCCUUCGGGGGAAAGAUUUAUCGCCUUUGGAGCAGCCCGCGUUGGAUUAGCUAGUUGGUGAGGUAAAGGCUGACCAAGGCGACGAUCCAUAGCUGGUCUGAGAGGAUGACCAGCCACACUGGGACUGGGACACGGCCCAGACUCCUACGGGAGGCAGCAGUAGGGAAUCUUGCGCAAUGGGCGAAAGCCUGACGCAGCCAUGCCGCGUGUAUGAUGAAGGUCUUAGGAUUGUAAAAUACUUUCACCGGGGAAGAUAAUGACGGUACCCGGAGAAGAAGCCCCGGCUAACUUCGUGCCAGCAGCCGCCGUAAUAC